UUUUUUUUUUUUUUUCUACUUGGAAUCUGAGCCACCUUGUCCCGCUUUUGCCCACAGCCUAGCAUGGAAGCAGCUGUUCACCAGAAAGCAUGCCUUCAACUAAUCGGAUUAGUCAAGGCGUUUAUUUUCUCACACCUGUUUUUCAUGGUAACUGAAGAGCUGAGUCCAGAAAUACACAGAGCCGUUCUGUUUGCAGAACACUGUGAAUGCCCUUCCAAGUCCCUGCUCAGUGGUCAGCCCAUAGAGCUCUCCAUUUGUCAGGUGGUGAGACUGACACCCAGGUGGCAAAGUAUGACCAGAUAGAUCCCUCUUCCUGUUCCUUCUGCAGCUCCAGGAGCAGGCUUGGCAUAGAGCUAACCAGGUACUGGGCUUUUAAAAGCAACUGACGUUAUGUUUCCAAGGUCCCUGUUGCAGGAGCAGAUCAUGAGAUUCUGGGUUCCAAAAUCUCAAGACUAUUAAGCCUAUAAUCCCAGCAUUUGUGAUGUUGAGGCAGGAGAAUUGCUGCAACUUUGAGGCUAGCCUGGGCUACAUAGCAGUUACCACCAGACCAGCACUGGUUACAUUGCAAGACUGUUUCAAGAAUAAGACAAAAAAAAAAAAAAAUUAAAAGGUUUGAACCUGGUGGUGCACAUCUGUAAUUCCAACACUUGGAAGGCAGAGGCAGGAAGAUCACGAGUUCAAGACCACCCUGUCUUAAAAUAAAAAUAAAAAGGCCAUCAUAAGCCACAUGGUAAAAUCCCGUGUUUUUGUUUUGUUUGGGGACAUGUGGCCUGAAAGUACUGUGUAGCUGAGGACAGCCAUGAGCUCCAGAUCUUCUGGCCUCUACCUCCUGAGUUCUGGGAUUACAGGCAUGUGCAACCAUACCUAGUUUGAAACUGCUUUAACCAAACAACAUAAAGCUUGUUUUAAAAUGUACCUUUGGAAUUCAAAAUGAGACAGAAUGGCCAUAUCUCCUCCCCCUCAGCCCUGGUCCGGGGGAAGAGUUUCCCAGAAAGUGAGAAAGCUGAAGAGACUUUUAUAAUGAAAGUCCAGACGUAAGAGACGCAGACAGCGCUGAGUCACUGGUUUCCUGGCAGAGUUGCUGGGAUGGAAGAGUUUACCUGUUACUGGAAACCCGAGUUCUCUAGGUUUGCUAUUUCAGUGUGUGUAGCUGCAGCAGCACAGAGCUCAGACCAGCCCUGCGUUGAAAAUUCAGCUAAGCCUGCAUGGAGGGCUAAGGGGUUGAUGGAGCCUUACUGCCAUAUGAG
rnacentral:lncRNA from 1 species